rnacentral:rRNA from 1 species
GUGUCAGCCGCCGCGGUAAUACGGAGGGCGCAAGCGUUGUCCGGAUUUAUUGGGUUUAAAGGGUGCGUAGGUGGUUUAUUAAGUCAGUGGUGAAAGACGGUCGCUCAACGAUUGCAGUGCCAUUGAAACUGGUAGACUUGAGUAAAGUAGAGGUGGGCGGAAUUGAUAGUGUAGCGGUGAAAUGCAUAGAUAUUAUCAAGAACUCCAAUUGCGUAGGCAGCUCACUUGGCUUUUACUGACACUCAUGCACGAAAGUGUGGGUAUCAAACAGGAUUAGAAACCCUCGUAGUCC